UGGGCUAAGAAAGCUUGACAUCCAUUUUUUAAUAAACGAAUGGCUUUGUGGCUUGAUAUAACAGUGAUUGAUUUUAGUGGUUUAGUUGUUUGAAUUCGCACAACAGGUUGGUUAGGAAUAUGAAAACUAACAACCUUACGAAAACAAUCAAUUUUGGCAUGAUUAGUAGUUAACCAAUCAAUCCCUAAAAUCAUGUCAAA
rnacentral:lncRNA from 1 species